GUGGGACUACUCACAUGAAUAGAGUUAAGCAUAUGUGUGUGGCAGGAUUGCAACCUUGAAAGGGUUCAUGUUGGAUCUGUCCACCUCGUAUAAUGCCCAAGACGAUAUUUCGGACAAGCCUUCAUCGCUGAUAGCAUAGCUCCAACGAGCAAUCCCCUAUUUCAGAUGUUACACCCCCUCCACCACGAUGAGCAUAGAAAUAUAAGAACACAUUUGUUGAAGAAGCUGUUGCUGUUACCUAAAUCAACACCCAUGGUUAACAGUUAAAAGCAACAACCUACAAAGGAAGAAGGUCUCUUUUGUUAAUGUGCCUCAGAAAGUGUACUUAAAUGUUGAAUCAAUGUCUGAGCUGUAUGUGAGAUUACUGUGAUGGAAUGAGAGGCCUAAAACAGGGUUUUUAAAAAUCUAUAUACUUAACUGAGUGGUUGGUUAAUUAGUUAGCUGACUACCCAAAUGAGUGAGUGCAGCAGAGGAAGAGGAAGAGUCUGCAUGGAUUCCAGUUGAAGAUUUCUACAAGUAAGUGGAGGGAAGAUGUUGUUGCCAUGCUUUUGACUCAGUAAACAGUAUAGAUUUUGGUGAUCGUUGACUGUAACUGACACUCAGGUGAACUCAACCUAAGAUGUUGGGAACUCUGAGUUUCUUCUCACUGUGUUUCUGUCCGGACUGACCUGUUUAGGUUUAGUUUGCUUUCUUUCUUUAUAUUUAUGUAUAACUGUGAAGAUAAUGUAUGUAGAUUAAAAAGUAGCCAUCUUAUAUAGUAAAAAUUGUUGAUGUUUCUUUAUGAUAAGAUUUUAUAAAGUUGGUACUUAAGAAUUAAAUACAUUAUUUUUGUUAUUUUUGGAUUUGAUUGUGAGGGGGUUGACCCUGUGCAAUCCUGGUCGAAAAUCCUCAGUGACUGAUUCUGGGUCUCUGAUCUUUCUAUGGGAGUUCUUUUUCGGCACUGAGCGAAGGGCAGUGAAGUAAUCUCUGGCCCACAAAAGGUUACAAUAGCUGUAGAUUUAUUAUCAUUCAGACUUAACUGCACAUUUGGAUAUUGCCAAAUUUAGGAGUGCUGAUCUACAUACAAUGAUAGAUAUUUUACCACCUCAGUGACAUGUUGCUGCUGAACUGAGCAGCUCUUAUUUCAUACCAGAGAUCAUGUAAGAGCAUACAUGAGUAUGAGAAGAACCUAUGUAUCCACAAUGCAUGAGCUGAACUCUGUUUGACUACAGGUAUAGGCCCACUUGGGGGAAGGGGUUAGGUAAUACUGUUUGACCUGGCCUGUAAAUAAAGGGGCCAAAUGUUAAUGUUCCUUCUAGUAGCACUGAAUCUCCAUUCAUGUGUACUACUUUUCCUUUGUCCAUUACAUUAGGGAUGUUGGAAUGGUAGACACCUGUCUAGAGUUUUUCAGACAAGCUUUCUCUUCCUGCGUACUACUUAAGCUAAAAGAAGAUCAUAUGUUCUUAUGACACUUUUGGACUUGGUGAAAGUGUUGGCUAUUGUGAUGCUUUCUCAGGAAUUCAGGACUGUGAGUUAUGUGAGUUACCUCUCAGCAUCACCUACCUACAUGGCUGGGGAUCCCCCAUUCAUGGAUACAAAAUGGUGGCAGAUAGAUGGAUAACCAAAAUAUCUCCCCCCCAAACCCCUCCAUUUUUAUAGUCCAGUAAACCUUUUUAAGGUAUUCUUGUUUGUCACCCAGAGUGUGGGCGUCAUGUCCUUUUUUUCUCAUCCUCUUGUUAAUUUGCUUUUCCUGUUGACUACAGAUGGAAUUCCUAAUGUCUUUUGGUUUACCCUGCUCCCUUUACAUUUGAGACCUAGGCUGACAGGCAAAUCAAACCUGCAUGGUUUCAUGGUUUGAGCAUAUUUUCAGUACAUACCUAAACCUUUUUAAUUGUUACCCAUACAUACAAUACACAAUGAUUACUAUGACCAGUAUAAGCUUUCAUGGGAUAUCUUAGACAACAUUCUUUAUAGAUAAAUACAAUGAGAGCAGCGUGUAUGUCAGACCUAAUAGGAGUUGCUGUUAGAUGACUAUGAAUCCUUUGCCAGUGAGCACUGAGGGGCUUCAGAGUCACUGCUACCUUGGAGGAUGAUCUAAAUGUGCAUUUUUAAGGGGAUGCAUGUAAGAAAUAUCAGAGACCAGUAAUUUGUCUGGUCCUAGUGCAACAGGAUUAUUUUUAUAUCAUCAUAUUUUUUACUUAUUUGAAAAUGACUGUAGCAAAUAAAGGAGCCUGGUUUGGAAUUAGUUUGUCUAAAUUGUCUAAGUGCAGAUUUAAAUGUUCUGUAACUAUUUAAUUGUAGUAAAUGGAAUAUACACUCUUCAAAUAAAGGAAAUGUUUUAUCUUAGCAGUGUUUGCUGGUAUGUUAUACAUUAUGGAUUGUAAAUGCA